AUCCAUAUUUUUACAAGUGGAGUUAAAAAUGCAACUUUAUUCUCGGAAUAUUACACAUUUUAUUCCAGUAAAGAUCUUCCUAAAAAAAAAGUAGGAGUCCUGUUUAUUAUCGGGAAAAAAACACUUGUUGAUGUUUUAAAAAAUAACUCCUGCAGGGAUGUCAUAAACGGAGAUAGAGAGGUUGAUAAUGUUUUAUUGGUGCACCGGUCUCCAUAAUCGAUUGCAAAUUAUUUCGUGGACCUCCAACACUAAAGACACACCUGUUGGAAAAGCACUGCUCGAAAGAAUCACGUGGCUAGGAAAAAAAAUUAUCAAACUCCCACUGGCCACAAUAGUAGAGCAAUAUUUUUUUAAAUCUACCAUUUAUAUAACCAAAUGUUGAACACAAGCAAUUUUAUUUUGGUCUUUUCCCACUGCCACUGAAUGGUUCAUCAAAGUUGAGAGAGGAACCUUCCACUUUCGGAGGUAUUAGCAGAGCCGUCAACGGAGGCGGGACAAAGCUUGCGAGUAAGGGAAAGUGUCCCGUUUCUACAAUAUCGCACCUUUGCUGGAUUCUGUAUUAAAGCCACAAGCAGCUCUCGUGUUUACUGAAGAGUCAAUUUUGGAGGAUCUCAGAGAAAGGCUGAAGAAACAGCUAUCAGUUGGAAGCAGUGCGGUUCACUACAACCGCAAUAAUAGACAAACUGUUCAAUUUCUACCUCGAUGACUGUCCGUCAACAGAAGGCAGAUUUUGUGAUUCGGCUCCUGUAUUGGUUUCCGUCGAGGCAGCAGGUGAGCGUAUAUCAUAUGAUAACGUGUUAUCUGAUGGACACGCUUCCUUCACAGCAACAAAGCAGCAGGGAAAAAAAAGCAACAUGACUCUUUGGAUGAUGAAAUGACAGCAAACUAAUAUCCUGCACAAGUGUUUUCUUCUUAUAGUCAUUGAGCUUUUAACUUUUGGGCUGAAAAUUGUUUUAUUUAAAGCUUAAGGGCCGAAAUAGACAAUUUACUUUAUUGUAUGUGGUUUUUUUUUUGCCCCCACCCCAUCAAAAC